CCUACGGGUGGCAGCAGUGAGGAAUAUUGGUCAAUGGACGAGAGGCUGAACCAGCCAAGUCGCGUGAGGGAAGACGGCCCUACGGGUUGUAAACCUCUUUUGUCGGGGAGCAAAGCGAGUCACGUGUGACUCAUUGAGAGUACCCGAAGAAAAAGCAUCGGCUAACUCCGUGCCAGCAGCCGCGGUAAUACGGAGGAUGCGAGCGUUAUCCGGAUUUAUUGGGUUAAAGGGGUGCGCAGGCGGAGGUGCAAGUCAGCGGUAAAAUUGGGGAGCUCAACCCCGUACUGCCGUUGAAACUGCAUCCCUUGAGUGCGCGAGAAGUAUGCGGAAUGCGUGGUGUAGCGGUGAAAUGCAUAGAUAUCACGCAGAACUCCGAUUGCGAAGGCAGCAUACCGGCGCGCAACUGACGCUCAUGCACGAAAGCGUGGGUAUCGAACAGGAUUAGAUACCCCAGUAGUC
rnacentral:rRNA from 1 species